GGGAAGGUAGCUCAGUGGUAGAGUGCUUGCCUUGUAUGCAUGAGGCCCUGGGUUCUGUUCCUUAUCA
rnacentral:tRNA from 1 species